rnacentral:rRNA from 1 species
GGCUACGGCCAUAUAAUGAUGAAUGCACCUCAUCCCGUCCGAUUUGAGAAGUUAAGCAUCGUCGAGCCACAUCAGUACUGAGGUUGGGACAACUUGGGAACCUGUGGUGCUGUAGUCU